rnacentral:tRNA from 1 species
GGCGGCGUAGCCAAGUGGUAAGGCGAAGGUCUGCAAAAUCUUUAUGCGCUGGUUCGAUUCCAGCCGCCGCCUCCA